CCCCCCCCCCCACACACACACACACACACACGCACACACACACACAAACAAAGAGGCGUUAGGCUGAGACGCUGAAAGUCCGGAUUUAAAGUGCAGAAAAGGAAGCCAUUGAAUCUGCCUGUCCAUGACGUACAAAGACACACUAUGAGCCAGUAUGAUCCGACCAGACCUUACAUCAGCAUUGAGGAGUUGUCGGAGAAGAAAGAGGCUGAUUGAAGCGGGACAGAUGACAUGGAUCCAUCCUUCCACAGCCAGGAGUGCACCGACCUGUGUCCCACACUUCAUAUAAGACUGGAAGCUACACUGAUCUCACAGCUACACACCACAGACGUCUACACACUGGAGAAGAGUCCCACAAAGAAGUCAUGACCCAGAGGCUGCAGAGAAACAUUUCAAGCCUCAUCUGAGUUUUUGUACAAUAUUUUUGCUGUAUGUAAAUAAAGCUUUCACUCCACAUA